AAAUUGAAGAGUUUGAUCAUGGCUCAGAUUGAACGCUGGCGGCAGGCCUAACACAUGCAAGUCGAACGGUAACAGGAAGCAGCUUGCUGCUUUGCUGACGAGUGGCGGACGGGUGAGUAAUGUCUGGGAAACUGCCUGAUGGAGGGGGAUAACUACUGGAAACGGUGGCUAAUACCGCAUAACGUCGCAAGACCAAAGAGGGGGACCUUCGGGCCUCUUGCCAUCAGAUGUGCCCAGAUGGGAUUAGCUAGUUGGUGAGGUAACGGCUCACCAAGGCGACGAUCCCUAGCUGGUCUGAGAGGAUGACCAGCCACACUGGAACUGAGACACGGUCCAGACUCCUACGGGAGGCAGCAGUGGGGAAUAUUGCACAAUGGGCGCAAGCCUGAUGCAGCCAUGCCGCGUGUAUGAAGAAGGCCUUCGGGUUGUAAAGUACUUUCAGCGGGGAGGAAGGUGUUGUGGUUAAUAACCGCAGCAAUUGACGUUACCCGCAGAAGAAGCACCGGCUAACUCCGUGCCAGCAGCCGCGGUAAUACGGAGGGUGCAAGCGUUAAUCGGAAUUACUGGGCGUAAAGCGCACGCAGGCGGUCUGUCAAGUCGGAUGUGAAAUCCCCGGGCUCAACCUGGGAACUGCAUUCGAAACUGGCAGGCUUGAGUCUUGUAGAGGGGGGUAGAAUUCCAGGUGUAGCGGUGAAAUGCGUAGAGAUCUGGAGGAAUACCGGUGGCGAAGGCGGCCCCCUGGACAAAGACUGACGCUCAGGUGCGAAAGCGUGGGGAGCAAACAGGAUUAGAUACCCUGGUAGUCCACGCCGUAAACGAUGUCUACUUGGAGGUUGUGCCCUUGAGGCGUGGCUUCCGGAGCUAACGCGUUAAGUAGACCGCCUGGGGAGUACGGCCGCAAGGUUAAAACUCAAAUGAAUUGACGGGGGCCCGCACAAGCGGUGGAGCAUGUGGUUUAAUUCGAUGCAACGCGAAGAACCUUACCUGGUCUUGACAUCCACAGAACUUUCCAGAGAUGGACUGGUGCCUUCGGGAACUGUGAGACAGGUGCUGCAUGGCUGUCGUCAGCUCGUGUUGUGAAAUGUUGGGUUAAGUCCCGCAACGAGCGCAACCCUUAUCCUUUGUUGCCAGCGGUUAGGCCGGGAACUCAAAGGAGACUGCCAGUGAUAAACUGGAGGAAGGUGGGGAUGACGUCAAGUCAUCAUGGCCCUUACGACCAGGGCUACACACGUGCUACAAUGGCGCAUACAAAGAGAAGCGACCUCGCGAGAGCAAGCGGACCUCAUAAAGUGCGUCGUAGUCCGGAUUGGAGUCUGCAACUCGACUCCAUGAAGUCGGAAUCGCUAGUAAUCGUGGAUCAGAAUGCCACGGUGAAUACGUUCCCGGGCCUUGUACACACCGCCCGUCACACCAUGGGAGUGGGUUGCAAAAGAAGUAGGUAGCUUAACCUUCGGGAGGGCGCUUACCACUUUGUGAUUCAUGACUGGGGUGAAGUCGUAACAAGGUAACCGUAGGGGAACCUGCGGUUGGAUCACCUCCUUA
rnacentral:rRNA from 3 species